rnacentral:lncRNA from 1 species
AAAAUAAGAAAGCCUUUCUAUUACAGAUUCCAUAGUAUGCUCAAUGACAACACAACACAGAAACACAAGUUGCUGAAGCCAAGACUCUCGUGACUCAAAAUGUGUUUAUUUUGCUAAAAACAGUGAUCUGAGCAACCAGAGAUUAUAAAGAAGUUCCAAUUACGUGAAGUUUCCAGAUUCGAAAAUCAAGACUACACCAUUCAACUCAUCAGUAGUCUUUGAGCUAAGAACAUCUCACCAAAAUCAAUGGAAAGACUGCGAAAGAUCUCCAGUAAGAA